rnacentral:tRNA from 1 species
GAUAACGUGGCCGAGUGGUUAAGGCGUGAGACUUGAAAUCUCAUGGGUUCGCCCUCGCAGGUUCGACUCCUGUCGUUAUCG